rnacentral:rRNA from 1 species
AGUGAACGCUGGCGGUAGGCCUAACACAUGCAAGUCGAACGGCAGCAUAGUAAGAGCUUGCUCUUACGGGUGGCGAGUGGCGGACGGGUGAGGAAUACAUCGGAAUCUACUUUUUCGUGGGGGAUAACGUAGGGAAACUUACGCUAAUACCGCAUACGACCUACGGGUGAAAGCAGGGGAUCUUCGUACCUUGCGCGAUUGAAUGAGCCGAUGUCGGAUUAGCUAGUUGGCGGGGUAAGGGCCCACCAAGGCGACGAUCCGUAGCUGGUCUGAGAGGAUGAUCAGCCACACUGGAACUGAGACACGGUCCAGACUCCUACGGGAGGCAGCAGUGGGGAAUAUUGGACAAUGGGCGCAAGCCUGAUCCAGCCAUACCGCGUGGGUGAAGAAGGCCUUCGGGUUGUAAAGCCCUUUUGUUGGGAAAGAAAAGCAGCAGGUUAAUACCCCGCUGUUCUGACGGUACCCAAAGAAUAAGCACCGGCUAACUUCGUG